ACUUCCGCCUGUACCCAUUCCCAUCAGCCCUGCUACACUGUCCUGCUCUGAGUUCUGACUACUCUCUGUCUCUAGGGAGGACUUGGCUGAAAUCUCCGAGGCAGGAGAUGAAUCCUGAUGAGAGCCAAAGUUUCUCUGAGGUGGCUCAUGGCCUAGACGCUGCUGCCCAGAACGCUGUUCGUCUUGGAGUCUGCGUGUGGGAUUCUUACGGUUCUCUGAUGGACCCAGUCACGCCAGCCAGCAUGGCACAGAAGCAAUGUGCAGUUCAACGGAGAAGAGCCACGGCGCUAUGUGGCUUGUCUCCGGAACGUCCUCAUCUGGGGAACGCCACCUCAGCACCCCCUCAGCGCCCCAAAGCUUCUGUCUGUGGUUGUUUCCUGUGCGAGUACAACUCGGAGCAUUCAAGCUGUUGUACCAGACUCAUCUUGCCCAGUGUCAGAAUCUCUUGUUCAAGACAGGCUGGGUGUGAAGCAUGCCUAUAGUCCUGGCACAUCAGGAGCUCAAGGCCGGUCCAGCUACUUGAGACCCGUGUGAGAGCUUAGAAGGUAAAGGUGCUUGCUGCUGUGCUUGACAGCGUGACGGAAAACAAGAAUGGACCCCUACAUGUUGUUCUUGGAUCUCCAUACAUGUUCCCAUGGACCCCCAAUAAAUAAAAUGUAAUUAAAAAAAAAA